rnacentral:tmRNA from 1 species
CGAAUUGUUUUUUAAGGCAAAAGCUUGAUUUUAUUAUAAUAAAAAUGGUAUGUAGGAAUUUCGGACGCGGGUUCAACUCCCGCCAGCUCCACCA